UGAACUAUGAGUCCGUUGGCAAAUAUAGAACUCAUGAAUUAUAAAUGCUGACUCUGCCACCAUAGAAAGUACUCCUUAAUAUUGUUUCCAGUAAACUGAAUGCUGUAUCCAUUAAAUGCCAAUAGCAUAAACAUGAUGAAAUAUGUAAUUGCCCUUCUAUGUGCUAUCUAUUUCAGAAAAUAAUGGGAACGGGCACAAGUAUUUUUUUUUUAUAUAUAUUAGAAAAGCUAGUGUUUCGACAUGUGUGCUUAAAGUCCUUUAAGGAAAAGUUAAGGAUAUUGUUGUCUUUUCAGAUAACCUAAGUAGCCACGUAUCAUUUGGCCACCGUUGCUCUGGUUCAUCUCCCUUCUUCGUGGUCCACUCCUCUCUUUCUUCAUCGCCAUGCUCGAACUUAAUUAGCUAAUCCAUCUGUUUUCAACGUCUUUAUCCAGAAUCCCUCAAUGCUUUCCUCGAUUUCUUUUGCUAGCACGAAUUCACCAGUGCAUGGAUUUGACGAUCCCAACGAUUGUAGUUCCGAUAAAUGGUGAUCUUCUGUUUGUUUGCUUAUUAGUGAAUAAUCUUAGGGUUUCGCUUCUUGAUAUUAUUGAUAAAUAAUUUGAAGUUUAUAGUGCUGGAGUUUUCUCGGCCAUUUUUAGGUAAACCCUACUGAAAAAUUUCACCUCUAUUGAUCCAUGCCUAGAUCUGACCAAAAAUUGGAAGAAAGUGAUAAAACAUGUGGAAGAGGAACAAAGUUGAGGACUCUUCUAUGCCUUUUGUUUAAAGGUUCCCAGAUCUUAGAGACUGUACGAGGACGACAAAUAUGUCUAAUAUUAUAGCAUUUUCAGUUGUGAUGCCUACAAUUACCUGAGGUGUAUGAACAAGGCUUCAAGUAUCAAAAGUUCUCCCUGCUCACAAUGGAGAUGACCCACUACUUCUCGAAGUCAACUAACAAUUGGUUUUACCUUGGGCAGAGGUAUGUCUUUUGAUGCAUUUCAAGCAUGUUAAAUGAUUCUGGCGUUUAUCUUAGUUUCCCUCUUUGGUUACAGGGAAGAUAUAUACUGAAGAAUUAGAAACCUUAGACAUGAUCUAUAAGCAAGCACCCUACGAGUUAUGUCAGUUGAUGUCUCCACUAAACUAUGCCUUCAUAAUGGAGGCAUUUGUAAUGUGUCUCGAGAAGAAAUCUAGGUUCAGAAUGCCCACCAUUGUGACGCCUUUUAUGUUAUACUACAUCAUGCUUAAAGAGUUUCGACGUGUCUGUUUUUAGUCAUUACAUUCAUAGCUGAGGGUAUUUUGGCCAUUUAAUCUCUUAGCAUUUCGGGGUACUUACGUGUCUAGCAAUCUGCUAGCCACUGUCAUAACGUGGCCUUAAUCCCUGUCAGGGUAUACUUACGUCCCCCCUUCUCUAUAGUCUUCUCCGUCUCUCUCCUUUACUUACUACAUCCACUUGUAUUUUCUUAGAUUCUUUCGCAAUUUUGUACAAGAUAAUUGCUUUCGCUCUGGCUUCUUUUCCUCCUAUCAUGGAUUUCAUUGUUCCUGGGUUCUUUUAUGGAUGUGGGUAGUUGGCUUCAAUUUGUUUAUAGUUGUGUGUGUUUUUUCUUUCAUUCCCUCCAUAGCUCUUAAUCACAGUAGGAGGAAAAUCAAGUCUUACACUCCAUUUAGUUAGAUUUUCAGGGAAUGAAUUUCUCCUGCUGGUAGCAUCCGGAGUAAGCUCCAUUUUGGAAAAAACAAAUUGAAGCUUCAAUUUUGAGAAAGGAUAGAUAGUGGAUAGCAGUAUGACUGGAUUUGAAUUACAUGUCACAUAUGAAGCUCAUGUAUGCUUGACAGAAUGGCUGGUCAAUUGAACAUAUGUGAAAACAUGUGAAUGUGUUUCCUUAUACGGCAAGAGCACAAAUAGCGUCUUAAAGAGGUGGUCUUUUUGGUCAAAGAUUGCUAAGGAGGACACGAGACACAACGCAAAAAAUGAAUCACUUUUUGCCAAUAUGUAAAUAGUACUCCUACAUGUAUGAAAAAUGACAAACUUUAGCAUCUAAUAGUUAGAUGUUCUCGUGGAUGUAAACGAUGUAUCAUUUAGCAACCAUGUAAUAUCCAUGAGUGGAUAUUUUAAUCCAAAAUGUAUGUAAAUGAUAUCUAGCAAUUAGUAUGUGA